rnacentral:lncRNA from 7 species
CUAAAUUUUGUUAAAGACUACCUAAAUCUUUUUUUCUUUUCUUCUGUUUUUCUCCCCUAGGGGAAUUCUCCACUGACAUGAGAUUUCAGUGCUCUUACUCCCAGUUCUGAAAUGGGACAAGGUAUUUCUCCAGGAAAAACUCUGUCUCUUGACUGCAUGCUGCUCACACACAGGCAUCCAUGACAUAGUUGCAGCAGUGCUUUCAAUCCAGCUCUGGUCUGAUAGCAUCAGCCCUGAGGAGGAGGAGAUGCAUCCAGGAACAUCCAUGGUAUUCCAGUGAUGUAUGUCAUUGCUUUGUGGUGGAAUUGGGAAUGCAAGUGUGGUAGAAGAGCUAGACAAAUACAAGAGAAUGACUCCUGGAGCAGAAGUAAAUUUUAGCAGCUGUGGAAAGACCAACAGUCAAGAAAAGAAGAGAGACAUCAUCAUUCUCUGCCCUGGAAGUGAAUAGAUUCUGGAUCCACAAGGAUGAAGUGCACACACAAGGCUGUCACAGAGGUCUCCAGUCACUCCAUGAGACAACACCAUUCCGUGAACUAUCCCUGCCAUGUUGCUGAACCAGCUAGAGCAAGCACGGGAGAUGUGAACCUCAGUGUUUGCCAUACUGUACCCGGACAUGUCAUUCAGAGAUACUGUUUGUCGAAUUACUAAAGAAAUUACUUGGAAACUAGGAAAUCCCCUGCUAAUCUUUGUGAAGAGCACCGUGUUACUACGCAAACAGUUCCUGGCAUAGGACUCUAGAAAUUUCCAAGUUUAGGACCAUUCUAGGACGUCAAUCUAAUGACACCAGACCCAGUGCACAAAAUCUUCCUCAUGUGUGUCUGAAAACAGCCAAAGGUCACAAAGUGUGUCUCCUGCAAGGACCUAUGCAAGUACAAACUCCAGUCUGCCUAGGUCUGCUAUUGGAAGCCAUAAGUCAUUUCUGCUUCCAUCCCAGUAUUGCUAUGAUGGGACUGUGCCCCAGACUUGCUGCACUGGAGCAACUCUGUUAGGAGAUUUGGAAAGAAAAAAGAGUAAUAAGGUAGAGGUUGCAACAAUUCUAAGAGCACUAUAAAGCCAGGCCAAGGCUUUGUCUGUCAUACGCAACAGAAAACACAAAGACCAGAGUAGAGAAAUAAACACUGUAGAGAAAUAAACAUUUAAGCAGUGAUAUUAUUAGUCUUACUUCUCAGUAUAAGUGCGCAGACACAAAGUUAAAAACUCACGUAAAGAUAGAACAAGGCCUUAAUAUGUGAUAUCCGUAAGUAGAACAGCAUCCCUUAAAACUCAAAGAUAUUUUGACAUUUGUUUUUAUUCAUCUACAUGAUGUCCUUCUACAGAAUUUGGACAGGACCAUUCCAAAUUUCUUACCACCUCUUCAAUUCAUCUUCAUUGCUAUGUACAAAACAAACCACUGAAGAGGGAACAUACUGAACCGCAGUGAUGACAAUUCUGCUUUGGCUGAGGUGGAAUGGACAACAUGCCUGUCCCAGAUGGCUUCAAAAAGAAGAAUACAUUCUGAUUAGGGAGUAGUGGGAACAUUUUCUAAGGACAUUUGGGUGCCUUUUAUAGAUUUAUAAGACAGAUGCUACUCCUUAGAAGCAUCUGCCUCCCAGACCCAUUUUUUCCUUUGCUCAGUCAUUGAGUAGGGAUUAAACUUGUGUGAAAUGGUAACUCCCUUAUGGUUUCAUGUACACGCUAAGCCCACUUUUACCACCCUCACAAUGAACAACACUGUUGCUGAAGAGAUUAAAAAGAAGGGGAACAGCUCCUCACUCCACAGAAUGUCUGGAAAAGAAGGGAUGUCAGAAACAAGCAAGUGCAGUCACAAACAGUACCUGAGGCCAAUCUGUUGACAGGAGACGGACAGCUCUGAUUCCCCUACCACAUCAGCAGGAUUGAUAUUUCUCAUAUUAUGAGAUCCAUUAUCUUUUGCAUCUGACAGGACUAGAUCUUUAAACUGAGAUUAAAUGGGAGUACACUGGUUUAGAAACAGAGCCAAGCAAACAGUAGGAGACACCAUCUGACAAAGUUAGUUUGUUAGACACAGGAGGUUACAUGGGAGCAGACUGCGUCAGCUUGACAAGGUUUCUCAGAGUUAUACAGUGCAGACCUAGGUUGGACUCCAAAUGUUUCUGGAUCUUGGUGCUUUCAGGUGUCAAAGGAUGACCAUGCUCUGACAGGCACUGGAUGUGGGACAGUGUAGAAAGAAAAUGAGCAGAAAGGGCACUCCAAACCUGGGACAGGUUUGUAGGAUUGUUUGCAGCCACCUCUACGAGUUUAUUCCCAUGAAGAUAUAAAAGGACUGCUCCGAAUGUAAUGCCCCCUGUUUCAUUAUGUUGAUCCAUGACAUCAGAGGCAGAUGUUGAUGGUUUGGCAGAAGAGACUGAACCUUCCUAACCUUCUGUUACAUUUUUUUGCUGUGUGACAGAUGGCAGCAGAGGGGCAGUCUGACAAAAUAGCAUCUGACAUGGAAGUGCGUAUGAUGUAAAGGUGUGGCAUUGAAUUCCUCCGUGCAGAAAAAAAUGGUAUCCACUGACAUUCAUCUACACUUGCCAAACAUUUAUGGAGACCAAACAGUAGAUGCGAGCACAAUGAGGUGGUGAGUGGUGACAGUGACAGUGAAUUGCCUCCGCUGGUGCAGAUUUUUACAAGUGCAACGUGCAGGCUCUUGUUCAUCACUGGUGAAAAUGCAUGACUAUUGGUGAUGACUAUACUGACAAAUACUGUUCUGUAGCUGAGAAUUUGCUCUAUCAAAUAGUGUUAUUGUUCUCUUUGUACUUGUUGUUUCUACGGAAAUAAAUAAGAGGUAUUACUUUCAAACUCACC